CCAAAGUGCUGGGAUUACAGGUGUGAGCCACUCUGCCUGGCCCCAAAACUGCUGUGCUUCUGAGGGACCCCUGUGCUGCAGCCCCCACCCAAGUCACAGCAGCAGCACCUACCUGGGGGACAAAACGCUGUGGCAGAGGGGCCAGAGUCUGGCCUGACCCUAUUCACUCUUCCUUGGGAUCAGAAAGGAGCAUGGGGAUUGCUUUCCUCUGUUCUCUUGGCCUUGACACAGGAUAACAUGACUAACUUUGUCAGCAAAGUUCCAGUGUUUUGGUUAAAUUAAUGAAAUAUACAGGUGGAGUAUCCCAAAUCCAAACAUCUGAAAUCUAAAAUACUCCAAAACCUGAACCUGAGUGCGGAUGUAAUGCUAAAAGGGAGUGCUCACUCAUGCAUUUCAGAGUUCAGAUGUUCAAAUUUGGGAUGCUUAACCAGUAGGUAUAAUGCAAAUAUUCCAAAAUCUGAAAAAACCCCAAACCCGAAACACCUGUGGGUGGUCCCAAGCAUUUCAGAUAAAGUAUUCCCAAACCAGGAAAUGCAAGCCAGCAAAAUGUGCCCUAUGUACUUAGUGAUAUCAACACAAAAGGACACACAGCAUCACCAUUCUGGGGAGCAGCAACUCCCACCCACAGCGACAGGCUGAGGAGAUGUCCGAGCAGCAUGGGACAAGCUUGUUGGAGCCCUCUAGAGCCCACAGAAUGGAGGUAGCAGAGGAGUGGCCAGUGGAUUAGGGUGGAGAGCACGAGAACCACAUGUCCCAGAGACAGCCGAGCUGUGUACUAAAGAGCAGCGGAGGCCAGCCUGUAGCAGGGGAGUGACUGGCAGAGCAGAACUCGCGGAGUGCACAGGUGCGUUUGGGAAGGGGUGGAGUGGAGGGUGGUGGCGGGUUGGAAAUGCUCUCUGAGGCAUGCUCCACCCAGGGACUUCUGGUGCCACAUUAAUGAACAUGACUACAUAUGCUCCUACUUCCCAGCUGACUUCCAUGCAAAACAUAACUGCUUUGAGAAUGUGCUCACGCCUACCCACGCCUGCUGGCAGCUUCCUCCUGAGAGGAGGCUGAGGCGAGUCAGAGCAGGCCUUGCUUUGGUAGGCGCCAGCACAGGCAGUCUCAUGCCAGGCUCUCUGGGUUCGCCAGGCUCUGGCUGUCUGGUGCAGCAUUAGUCUGCUUUGGUCUGGCAGCAGCACAACCCUGCCCAAAGCCUGCUAGGUCACUCCCUAAUGAAGUACUGGGGAAUGAAGGCCCCUUCACAGAAGUGCAGUGUCUCAGAGUCUGAGACAUAACAUGUUGGGCUAGUGACAAGAAAGAGCCUGCCCAGGAGUUGGCGGCCCAGCCGCUGCCCCCACGCCUGAGUUGGAGAUGAGCCAGGCCCCUGGCGCCUGCCUCUGCACGUGCCACUCCUCUCUCUCCCACUGAGCGGACUCGGUGCACCGCCACCUCUACGUGCCUCCCCUGUACCCAGGCCUGACUCCCUUCGGCCAGGGCCCUGGCCUUCCUGAACGCAGCAUCAGCCCAUCCUAGUAUCACACCAGUGCCCCUCGCCUCCCUGUGCGAUGAGGUAGUCGAGGCCAGGAGGUUUUACCUUGUUUAUUUUUGUAUCUCCAGGGGUCAGCACAGAGGUGCUUCUCCUACCUUAACCCUCAAAAUAUGGCUACAAUGAAUGAACACAUGAACAAAUGAUUGAUGAGAAGUCUUCCUGUCUUGUUCUAGAACACCUGAAAAUAACUGGGGCAGCUUAACUUGGAGAAGCAAGAAUUUAGGGAGGAGGCCGGGUGUGGUGGUGGGCGCCUGUAAUCCCAGAUACUUGGGAGGCUGAGGCAGGAGAAUCGCUUGAGCCCGGGAGGCGGAGCUUGCAGUGAGCUGAGAUCACAGGAGAAUCACUUGAACCUGGGAGGCGGAGGUUGCAGUGAGCUGAGAUCGCACCACAGCACUCCAGCCUGGGCGAC
rnacentral:lncRNA from 10 species